AUGUUCCACGUCAGCCUCAAUGUUACACGUGGAAUUACCGUUGACUAACACGUGGUCUAAUCAUUUUCAAACAAGUUUCUUCUGUUUGUCGUGUUUUUUUUUUUUUGUUGCUCUCGCGCCAAAAAUUAUGGACGGUGGUGAAGGAGAUUAAGGAUAUUGUUAUUUUUUUUUAGUUUUGGACGAAAAGACGAGAAUGUGGAGAUAUUAAUUGGAUGGGGACACCAAUCCUUAAAUACCGGAUUUGUUUAAUUCUCGAUUAAAGCAGGACCAUACUUUUCAGCUUUCUUCCUAAUUAUUUA